AGUAAAAAGAAGAAGGAUUUCUUUUUUUAAAAAAGGAAUUUUUCAUCAGGUGUGAUGGCUUGCACCUAUAAUCUUAGCACUUUGGGAGGCCGAGGUACAUUGGAUCACUUGAGUCCAGGAGUUCGAGACCAUCCUGAGCAACAUGCUAAAACCCUGUCUCUACAAGAAACACAAAAAAUUAAUGUCUCAAAUAAGUAAAUAAAUAAAUCAUAAAAGUACAAAAAUUUUUUUCAUUUAAAAUUUGUUCCCCAGAGAAUGGUUCUCCCUCCUUCGUCUGGCAGGAAAGAAUCCAAUCUACCCAAUAGGGGCACUUCCAUUUCUGAUGAUACCAUCUACUGGACAUUAAACUGGCUCACAGAUUGCGGUGUUAUUCCGAGUAUUUACCAGCUAGUGCAGAGCAAUGGGGUAAUCAGAAAACCAUGGCUCUCAUGGUUCAGAUGUAGAUGCAAACCAAACUAGUCAUCAGCCAUGUGUGCAGCAGUUCCCAGCCUCUUUGGGUGUUUCUGUAACACUGUCCCGCCUGGUAGACUGACUUGGGGCACUGAGGAGAAUGAACAGCAACAGCUCUAGUUGGUGCCUCUCCUGACCGGGCGUGCCAUGUUCUGUGAGUUCACAGCCUGCCUUGUCUGUGCUCACUCUCUUUGCGUUGUCUUUGGGACUGUCUCAUCCUCUCCUGAGGCCCUAAGCAGCUUUUUAAAAGCCCCAUAAAAACAAACAAUGACGUAGAAAAGAAUAUUCCAAUUCCACUGAAUAGCCUUGAGGUCAUUCUUGGUCUGAGAGUGACAUCAUAGAAUAACUCACUCUGGUGUAGACCCCAGGUUCCUGUUUCUUCACCUGCCCAUUGCCAGGCUGGUGCCCUGGCAGGGGCAAGCGAGAUGCCAUGAGUCCCUUCAUGGGGGCGUGGAGUGCACCUAAAU
rnacentral:lncRNA from 1 species